rnacentral:rRNA from 1 species
GACGAACGCUGGCGGCGUGCUUAACACAUGCAAGUCGAACGGUCCUGUUUUUGAAGCGUUUCGGCGUGGAGGGGACGGGGCAGUGGCGCACGGGUGAGUAAUGCGCGAGGACCUGCCCGCAGGAGGGGGACAGCAGUUGGAAACGGCUGGUGAUACCCCGUAGGCCGGGAGGUAAAAGGGCGGAGACGCCCGCCUGCGGAUGGACUCGCGUCCUAUCAGCUAGUUGGUGAGGCAACGGCUCACCAAGGCGACGACGGGUAGCCGGCCUGAGAGGGUGUCCGGCCACACUGGAACUGAGACACGGUCCAGACUCCUACGGGAGGCAGCAGUGGGGAAUUUUGGACAAUGGGCGCAAGCCUGAUCCAGCCAUGCCGCGUGCAGGAUGAAGGCCUUCGGGUUGUAAACUGCUUUGUACGGUAACGAAAGAACUCUUCUAAUAAAGAAGGGUCCAUGACGGUACCGUAAGAAUAAGCACCGGCUAACUACGUG